UGGGGAAUAUUGGACAAUGGGCGAAAGCCUGAUCCAGCCAUGCCGCGUGAGUGACGAAGGCCUUAGGGUUGUAAAACUCUUUCGUCGGGGACGAUAAUGACGGUACCCGAAGAAGAAGCCCCGGCUAACUCUGUGCCAGCAGCCGCGGUAAUACAGAGGGGGCAAGCGUUGUUCGGAAUCACUGGGCGUAAAGGGUGUCGAGGCGGUUGUAUUAGUCGUUCGUAAAAUCUACGAGCUUAACUUGUAGGCGGCGAACGAAACGGUACGACUUGAGGUUUGGAGAGGUGCGUGGAACUCACGGUGUAGGGGUGAAAUCCGUUGAUAUCGUGGGGAACACCAAAGGCGAAGGCAGCGCACUGGCCAAAAUCUGACGCUCACACACGAAAGCUAGGGUAGCGAAGAGGAUUAGAUACCCAAGUAGUCCCUGAGCGGGCUGGCAAGGCGCAU
rnacentral:rRNA from 1 species